UACGUAGGGUGCAAGCGUUGUCCGGAAUUAUUGGGCGUAAAGAGCUCGUAGGCGGUCCGUCACGUCGGCUGUGAAAACCCGAGGCUCAACCUCGGGCCUGCAGUCGAUACGGGCAGACUAGAGUUCGGUAGGGGAGACUGGAAUUCCUGGUGUAGCGGUGAAAUGCGCAGAUAUCAGGAGGAACACCGGUGGCGAAGGCGGGUCCCUGGGCCGAAAC
rnacentral:rRNA from 1 species